rnacentral:tRNA from 1 species
GUCGCUCAGUGGUAGAGCACUUGCCUGGCAUGCAGGAGCCCCUGGGCUUGAUCCCCAGGACU